CCUACGGGAGGCAGCAGUGAGGAAUAUUGGUCAAUGGACGAGAGUCUGAACCAGCCAAGUAGCGUGAAGGAUGACUGCCCUAUGGGUUGUAAACUUCUUUUAUAUGGGAAUAAAAUGUUCCACGUGUGGGAUUUUGUAUGUACCAUAUGAAUAAGGACCGGCUAACUCCGUGCCAGCAGCCGCGGUAAUACGGAGGAUCCGAGCGUUAUCCGGAUUUAUUGGGUUUAAAGGGAGCGUAGGUGGAUUGUUAAGUCAGUUGUGAAAGUUUGCGGCUCAACCGUAAAAUUGCAGUUGAAACUGGCAGUCUUGAGUACAGUAGAGGUGGGCGGAAUUCGUGGUGUAGCGGUGAAAUGCUUAGAUAUCACGAAGAACUCCGAUUGCGAAGGCAGUUCACUGGACUGCAACUGACACUGAGGCUCGAAAGUGUGGGUAUCAAACAGGAUUAGAUACCCGAGUAGUC
rnacentral:rRNA from 1 species